GGUCAGUAAACAAUUUAUUGGGCUUCUACUAUGUUCCAGAAAGUAUUCUAGGCCUAGAGGACUGUGGCGAAAAAGACAAGCACUGCCUCUUCUCUUUUGGAACAGACAUAUCAGAGAAAGGAGAUGGAUAAUAUACAGGUCACUGGUGCCAGCUAGCAGAUUGUACACUGGAAGUCUUUCUGUGUCUCCGGCCAAAGACUGGUAAUCUCCCUGGUCAAUGCCGAGAUAACACACGUCAAGAGGCAGCAGUGGCUGUAAUCAAUAUCGAGGCUGCAAAGAACAAAGAGCUUUAUUUUGGGGUCUUAGGAACUGCAAUUCAGAAGACACAGAUUCAGGUAAAACUGAAAGAGUAUUCUGGGAAAGAGAAAAAGUCUUUAACAAGGUUAUUAAAGUUGCCAGGCGAGAAUUGUGAUUGACUCUGAUGCGGGUCGGGAGAUACUUGUCCUUUAAGGAAUCACAAGUUAUUUUAGGGUAAGGGUUUGAUAAGUAGAUAGGCUGUCACAUUAUUUUAGGGUAAGGAUCCAAUAGGUAUCUUCAGUAGGACAAUGAGUGAUCAAAACGUCAGAUUUUGUGCACGCUGAGACGUGCAGAAGUCCCACUUCCUCAAUGGCCGCCCGGCUCCAUAUUAGAGAGCUCUCUUAGCAACAUCGACUUGAUUUUGAUUGUCCUUUCAGUUUACCUGGGCAAGUGGCCAGGGGAGGCAGUGUUUAGCCUGACUUAGCGACUAGAGCUGAACAUGGAGUGGAAGAGGUGAGCUGCACAGUGUCCGUCUUGUGCCAACUUCCAACACAAGGGCACUGAGUCCAGAGGUGGCACAACAAUGUUUCAUCUUCUUGUUAUUGUGAAUUAAAAACUCCAGCAGAAGUCCUUCAUCUGGAAAAUAAUAUCUCGAGGGGGUCUUCAAGUUCAAGAAAGGUAUUUCCAAGAAGAUGUAGGACGCGGACUGCAGAGGAGAGGCCUCUGUUUCUGUGUGAGCAGUCAAGGGGUCAGGUGGGUCUUGAAAUGAUGCAACUCCUUCAUCCGGUCUCCUUCUUCCUUGGUCGGCCUUUGUCAAUAUCUUCGCUGAUUAGCAUGACUGCCAGAGAGUACAUGGAAGAACACUUGAAAAGCAACGUUCCUUGUGGGACAAUUAGCAGAAAAUGAUCAUUUGUUGUGAUUGUUUGAAAAGGGCUAACGGUGAAAGACAUUUCCUGAUGACCUAAAAUCCGGAAGUAUGCAGGAGCCUAUUGUUUUUCAGUCUGAGUUGAUAUUCCUCCCCUCCUAGCACUCUCAUUUUCCAUACUUCGGUUUUCUCAGCCCAGCCAUUGCCAGCAUUCUCUUGCAGCACGGGUGUUAAGGACUCCCAGAUUGUAGAAGGCUGUUAAAAAGAUAAGGAGCUGGCCAAGGAAGGUCACAGUGAAGGGAAGUAAGAAAUGGAAUCUUACCAAGGGUCAGUGGGUGGCACUCGGAAGAUUCCGGUGCACAUGAGUGACGGACUUGGGCAAAAGAGAAGACCAAGUGGGCAGCACAGACGCAGAGGAGCCUCAGCUCUGUCCAUGGGGCUCCGGGCCUCCACCCCUCCUCUUCCCGUCCGUCACAGGCUGAGUGCUUCCCCAAGGAACGGGGGAAUUAGAACAGGAUGUGUGUAACCCCCAAGGGA